CAGGGGAGCUUCAAAUUUUGUCCUUAUCAUUUGGUGCUCUGGCUGGUUACAGUUCCUAUAGCUAUACAUGCAGGCGGCUGAUCAAGGGCGGUGCCAACAAGGAUGGAUAGAAGAUGUGCAAGCAGGUUAUCGCGAGGAGCUGGGAAAUAUUUUCUUGAUGUUCACUUCUGAAUUUGUUCUUACCUCCGUAUGUGCUAGCGUAUAAAAAAAUUCGGAUCUGUGAGGUACAGGCUUUGUCUGCAGUGACCAGAUUUUCCAUUUGGCAUGCUAUAUAACUUCACCAGUUCAUACUGAACUAAGUUACUCAUGUCAUCCUGUGCAACAGCUGCUGGUGUUGAAUAUGUUCAUGCUAUACAAGACUUCUUAAAUCAAGAAACUCUUUGUUUUUUCUGUGUUAUAUACUACACAAGUUGUGAAGUUUCAAGUGCAUAACCUUGCUGCUUUUUUUUCACUCUUCUCAACCUUACAGUGUUGCAGCAGAUAUUCAGACAAUGCUUGAAGAUACGAUGUUGAAUUUUGAGAAGGAAAGGUAACUCAAGCUUGUGUGAAGUGUGAAAUAGUGCUCAUAGUUACCAGUUUUCUUUUUGCAAGAACAAUUCCGCUUUAAACCUUAUCUGGUUUCUGAAAAGUAAAAGUUCAUAUUUAUUUAGAUUGUAAACUCACUGUUCUAUGUUCAUGUGCAGGCAGGUUUUUCUGAAAGUACUGUCAAACACUUCAAUAAAGGUGUUCAAUUUAAAAUUCUUACAGCUUGAUAUUUACUGAUUUACAUACGUUAAAUGAUGACAAGUAAUUUGCAUUGUAUGUAGUUUUAAAGUUCAUUGAACAAGGAGUACACCAAACUGAAACAUUCUGGUCAUGUUGUAGCAAUAAUAUUUCUGAUUUUUUAACUUAGCAGAAUAUAUUCACAUUUGGAUUAUAUCUAACUAUUACCAUGCAAGUUACAGACUCCCUUCAUUUUUUUGAGGGGCAGACUCCCUUCGAUUUUUAAUCCCAUAGUAAUACGAACAAAAUAAAUACUAGCUGUCCCUCUUGAAGGAUCCAACUUGUAAGGUCCAGCUCAUUCUUAUAGCCUUUCAAAAAACCCGUUGUCCCCUUUAUCAUCUCUUGGUAAUUCUGCUAUUUCCUUCGCCGAAAAAACAAUCCGUCUAUUUAUUGUGGCAUGAGUUUGUGCAUUAUCUAUUCUCCAAUCUGAGGCAUCUUAGGGCUCGGAGGAUGUUAUAGAGGCAUCAGAUGGUUGGAUUGAUCGGCAAGGACACUUAAGUCAUGUUUCUCAUGACUAGGCUUUAAUCUCUAUAUUGAACCAAACCUACCUGUUCUGCCAAGAGAUCUUGUACGUCCAAGGUUUACGAUAAUUUGCAAUCUCCUAUCUCAGCCUAAAGAAGGAUGAAAAGAGAUGAUCUAAGAAAAUAGGAGACAUGGAUGUCCUUCCAGGUGAUUUCAGUUUAUUGAUGCAUGCCAAAUCUCCUAUGUGAUGUCUCUCGGAGAGAAACGAAGGAAGGGACGCAAGGGAGCAAAUGAAGAAAAGGGUGUGUUGUUGCAGAAGCCUGCAUAGCCCUAUUUUGCCCCUUUUUUAUUUUUCUCAGAAGACACAACUGUAUCCCCCUUUUCCUACUUUUCCCAGAUUACACUGAGCUACUUACGUUUGUUCCCUGUUGCAAAACAAGUUGG